rnacentral:lncRNA from 1 species
GUCAGAACCCGGCGGUCAAACACCGUUGACCACCGCCCGAAGAAGGAUUUCCGGCGACCUGACCGGCGACCGCCGCCUGGGUCGCCGGAUCUUCUGGAACGUUGGAAAAGACGCGGCGAUCACCGCCAGAUGAAGGAUUUUUGUGCUUGGGCCGGCGACCGCCGGAUGGGUCGCCGGGAAGGUCGCCGGCUACCCGGAUUUUUCAAUUUUGCGCGUUUUUGGAGUUCUUCUGGGUUUCAAACACUGUAUUUUACCUUGACACUAUAAAUAGGUCUUCUUUUGACCUAUCUAGGGUUCCCAGCUUUAGUUUUUCAGUUCCCAA